rnacentral:rRNA from 1 species
UACGUAGGGUGCAAGCGUUGUCCGGAAUUAUUGGGCGUAAAGAGCUCGUAGGCGGUCUGUCGCGUCUGCUGUGAAAACUCGGGGCUUAACCCCGGGCCUGCAGUGGGUACGGGCAGACUAGAGUGCGGUAGGGGAGACUGGAAUUCCUGGUGUAGCGGUGAAAUGCGCAGAUAUCAGGAGGAACACCGGUGGCGAAGGCGGGGUCUCUGGGGCCGUAACUGACGCUGGAGGAGCG